AAAGCCAGUAUACAGGGGAGAUACCGUGAUCACGAAGGUGGUUUUCCCAGGGCGAGGCGUACCCAUUGCACUCUGGAUGUGCUGACCCCUGCGAUUUCCCCACGUGGGUAACUCGACUGCAUAAUUUGUGGUAAUGGGGGACUGCGUUCACGCUCUAA